AUACGUAGGGUGCAAGCGUUAAUCGGAAUUACUGGGCGUAAAGCGUGCGCAGGCGGUUCGGAAAGAAGGAUAUGAAAUCCCGGGGCUCAACCUUGGAACUGCAUUCUUAACUACCGAACUAGAGUAUGUCAGAGGGGGGUAGAAUUCCGCGUGUAGCAGUGAAAUGCGUAGAUAUGCGGAGGAAUACCGAUGGCGAAGGCAGCCCCCUGGGAUAAUACUGACGCUCAUGCACGAAAGCGUGGGUAGCAAACAGGAUUAGAUACCCUGGUAGUCCACGCCCUAAACGAUGUCAACUAGCUGUUGGGCCCUUCGGGGCUUAGUAGCGUAGCUAACGCGUGAAGUUGACCGCCUGGGGAGUACGGUCGCAAGAUUAAAACUCAAAGGAAUUGACGGGG
rnacentral:rRNA from 1 species